rnacentral:rRNA from 1 species
AGCUAUCAGGACCCUUUCUGGAGUAGCUACCAUGGAAGGCAGACGGCUGGACCCCUCCAUCGGAUCUUAUUCUGCUAUCACAUUUUUACCUUUGUGUGACACAUUUUCUUGAGUGGUCACCCUCAAAAGUGAAGGCAAUCCCUUCUUUUCUUUACUGUUGACUACGUCCAUUAGAGGACCCUUGUAGUCCCUAUCAACCUGGUUUAAAUCCAUGUUGAAAUCUAUGACACCUCCUUACGGCUCCAUCUCUUCAUUCAGUGCGAGGUUCCAGCCCUCCUAGAAGGCAAAGAGCAGCCUCUGUCCUGACAUUUUUCUGCAUACGACAGAAAAAAACGUCAGUGGGCUGACACUUGUCAUGAACAAGAAUAAAACAAAGUAUUGAUUAAAGUAAAUUUUAGUUUGUUUUGGUGAAGAGGAUUAUUCAUUUUAUGUGUGAGUUUCAUUUAAUUUAGUAGAAUAUUUAAAUUCGAAAGUAGAAAAGAGAAUGUGUUAAGUUCAAAAAUUUUAUCAAAAUUGUCAUUAUAAUGAGGUUAAUUACAAAACUUGGACCCGGUUGUAGAUCGGUAGGGGUAUAGGGAAUUUCUGGUGGAGCGGUGAAAUGCGUAGAAAUCGGAAAGAGCACCAACGGAAAAAGCACACUGCUGGGCCGACACUGACACUGAGAGACGAAAGCUAGGGGAGCAAAUGGGAUUAGAUACCUCAGUAGUCCUAGCCAUAAACAAUGGAUACUAGGCGCUGUGUGUAUCGACCUGUGCAGUGUUGUAGCUAACGCGUUAAGUAUCCCGCCCGGGGAGUACGUUCGCAAGAGUGAAACUCAAAGGAAUUGACGGGAACCCGCACAAGCAGUGGAGCAUGUGGUUUAAUUUGAUGCAAAGCACAGAACCUUACCAGGGCUUGACAUGCCGUGAAUCCUCUUGAAAGAGAGGGGUGCCUUCGGGAACGUGGACAUAGGUGCUGCAUGGCUGUCGUCAACUCGUGUCGUAAGGUGUUGGGUUAAGUCCCGCAACGAGUGCAACCCUCGUGUUUAGUUGCCACCAUUGAGUUUGGAACCCUAAACAGACUACCGGUGAUAAGCCGAAGGAAGGUGAGGAUGACGUCAAGUCAUCAUGCUGCUUAUGCUCUAGGAGACACACGUGCUACAAUGGCCGGGACAAAGGGUCGUGAUCCUGUGAGGGUGAGCUAACUCCAAAACCCGUCCUCAGUUCGGAUUGCAGGCUGCAACUCGCCUGCAUGAAGCCGGAAUCGCUAGUAAUCGCCGGUCAGCCAUACGGCGGUGAAUUCGUUCCCGGGCCUUGUACACAUCGCCUGCCAAAUAGUUAACCCUAAAACAAUCAAAGCUUCAAAUUUUCAAAGAAAGCAGAGGAAAGCGGCAUUGAGCACUAUCAAGUUGC